AGAGUUUGAUCAUGGCUCAGGAUGAACGCUGGCGGCGUGCUUAACACAUGCAAGUCGAACGAACCUUCGGGUUAGUGGCGGACGGGUGAGUAACGCGUGGGAAUCUGCCCUCAGGAGGGGGAUAACGGCUGGAAACGGCCGCUAAUACCCCAUAUGCCGAGAGGUGAAAUGAAUUUCGCCUGAGGAUGAGCCCGCGUCUGAUUAGCUAGUUGGUGAGGUAAGAGCUCACCAAGGCAUCGAUCAGUAGCUGGUCUGAGAGGAUGAUCAGCCACACUGGGACUGAGACACGGCCCAGACUCCUACGGGAGGCAGCAGUGGGGAAUUUUCCGCAAUGGGCGAAAGCCUGACGGAGCAACGCCGCGUGAGGGAUGAAGGCCUCUGGGCUGUAAACCUCUUUUCUCAAGGAAGAAGAUCUGACGGUACUUGAGGAAUAAGCCACGGCUAAUUCCGUGCCAGCAGCCGCGGUAAUACGGGAGUGGCAAGCGUUAUCCGGAAUUAUUGGGCGUAAAGCGUCCGCAGGCGGCCCUUCAAGUCUGCUGUUAAAACGUGGAGCUUAACUCCAUCAUGGCAGUGGAAACUGUUGGGCUUGAGUGUGGUAGGGGCAGA
rnacentral:rRNA from 1 species